rnacentral:rRNA from 1 species
GAUGAACGCUGGCGGCGUGCCUAAUACAUGCAAGUCGAGCGAACGGACGAUAAGCUUGCGUCGCUGAUGUUAGCGGCGGACGUGUGAGUAACACGUGUAUAACCUACCUAUAAUACUGGUAUAACUUCGGGAAACCGGCGCUAAUACCGGAGAAGAUUUUGAACCACAUUGUUCAAAAGUGAAAGACGGUCUUGCGGUCACGUAUAGAUGGAUCUGCGCUGCAUUAGCUAGUUGGUAAGGUAACGGAUUACCAAGGCAACGAUGCAUAGCCGAACUGAGAGGGUGAUCGGCCACACUGGAAGUGAGACACGGUACAGACUCAUACGGGAGGCAGCAGUAGGGAAACUUCCGCAAAGGGCGAAAGCCUGACGGAGCAACGCCGAGUGAGUGAUGAAGGUCUUCGGAUCGUAAAACUCUGUUAUUAGGGAAGAAAAUAUGUGUAAGUAACUGUGAACAUCUUGAAGGUACAUAAUCAGAGAGCCACGGCUAAACAAGUG